AUGCUUAAAAUUGAUCUUUCUAAGGCUUUCGAUCGUUUAGAAUGGAGCUUCAUUCUUUCAGCUCUUGCACGUAAAGGAUUGCAUGCUCAUUUCAUAAAUUUGAUUUAUGAGUGCAUUUCUUCUCCUACUUUUUCUGUGGUCAUUAAUGGUAGGCCUUCUCAUAAAUUCAAAAGUUCUAGGGGUAUUCGUCAAGGUUGUCCUAUGUCCCCUUAUUUGUUUUUUAUUGCCAUUAAUAAAUUAUCUCUUGCUCUUAACGAAGCUUUAGCUGCUCAUAGUCUUCAGGGUAUUUUGCUUGGACCAAAUUGCCCCAUUCACUCUCUUUUGUUUGCAGAUGAUUUGUUGGUAUGUGGUCAAGCUACUGUUCAGGAAGCUAAUGCUAUGGCCAACAUUAUCAAUCAUUUUUGU
rnacentral:rRNA from 1 species